rnacentral:misc_RNA from 1 species
GAUGAAGAACGCAGCGAAAUGCGUUAAGUAAUGUGAAUUGCAGAAUUCAGUGAAUCAUCGAAUCUUUGAACGCACAUUGCGCCCGCCAGUAUUCUGGCGGGCAUGCCUGUCUGAGCGUCAUUUCAACCCUCAUGCCCCUAGGGCGUGGUGUUGGGGAUCGGCCAAAGCCCGCGAGGGACGGCCGGCCCCUAAAUCUAGUGGCGGACCCGUCGUGGCCUCCUCUGCGAAGUAGUGAUAUUCCGCAUCGGAGAGCGAUGAGCCCCUGCCGUUAAACCCCCAACUUUCCAAGGUUGACCUCAGAUCAGGUAGGAAUACCCGCUGAACUUAAGCAUAUCAAUAAGCGGAGGA